rnacentral:rRNA from 1 species
CCCUUAGAUGUCCUGGGCCGCACGCGCGCUACACUGACGGAGCCAGCGAGCUUACCCCUUUGCCGAAAGGCAUGGGAAAUCUUUUGAAUCUCCGUCGUGCUGGGGAUAGAUCAUUGCAAUUAUUGAUCUUGAACGAGGAAUUCCUAGUAAGCGCAAGUCAUCAACUUGCGUUGAUUACGUCCCUGCCCUUUGUACACACCGCCCGUCGCUACUGCCGAUUGAAUGGCUUAGUGAGCCUUUGGGAUUGGCAGCCAACACCGGCAACGGUAGCUGGCCGCCGAAAACUUAUGCAAACUUGGUCAUUUAGAGGAAGUAAAAGUCGUAACA